UUCUGACCGCUCAUAAUGAAUUCGCACAACUGAAUAGCUCACCGAAUGCGGGAAGCCGGUCCAAAUCCGGCGCUGUCGCGCAACUGUGAGUGGGGAGCGUUCGGCCUGCGGCCACUGAGGCGAAGUCCUUGGGAAGGCGGCCGACACGCUGUGAUCCACAAGCCAGGAGACCCAUUCCUUGAGCGGUCGUCCC
rnacentral:ncRNA from 2 species